GACGAACGCUGGCGGCGUGCUUAACACAUGCAAGUCGAACGGAAAGGCCCUGCUUUUGUGGGGUGCUCGAGUGGCGAACGGGUGAGUAACACGUGAGUAACCUGCCCUUGACUUUGGGAUAACUUCAGGAAACUGGGGCUAAUACCGGAUAGGAGCUCCUGCUGCAUGGUGGGGGUUGGAAAGUUUCGGCGGUUGGGGAUGGACUCGCGGCUUAUCAGCUUGUUGGUGGGGUAGUGGCUUACCAAGGCUUUGACGGGUAGCCGGCCUGAGAGGGUGACCGGCCACAUUGAGACUGAGAUACGGCCCAGACUCCUACGGGAGGCAGCAGUGGGGAAUAUUGCACAAUGGGCGGAAGCCUGAUGCAGCAACGCCGCGUGCGGGAUGACGGCCUUCGGGUUGUAAACCGCUUUCGCCUGUGACGAAGCGUGAGUGACGGUAAUGGGUAAAGAAGCACCGGCUAACUACGUGCCAGCAGCCGCGGUGAUACGUAGGGUGCGAGCGUUGUCCGGAUUUAUUGGGCGUAAAGGGCUCGUAGGUGGUUGAUCGCGUCGGAAGUGUAAUCUUGGGGCUUAACCCUGAGCGUGCUUUCGAUACGGGUUGACUUGAGGAAGGUAGGGGAGAAUGGAAUUCCUGGUGGAGCGGUGGAAUGCGCAGAUAUCAGGAGGAACACCAGUGGCGAAGGCGGUUCUCUGGGCCUUUCCUGACGCUGAGGAGCGAAAGCGUGGGGAGCGAACAGGCUUAGAUACCCUGGUAGUCCACGCUGUAAACGGUGGGUACUAGGUGUGGGGUCCAUUCCACGGGUUCCGUGCCGUAGCUAACGCUUUAAGUACCCCGCCUGGGGAGUACGGCCGCAAGGCUAAAACUCAAAGGAAUUGACGGGGCCCCGCACAAGCGGCGGAGCAUGCGGAUUAAUUCGAUGCAACGCGUAGAACCUUACCUGGGUUUGACAUGGAUCGGGAGUGCUCAGAGAUGGGUGUGCCUCUUUUGGGGUCGGUUCACAGGUGGUGCAUGCCUGUCGUCAGCUCGUGUCGUGAGAUGUUGGGUUAAGUCCCGCAACGAGCGCAACCCUUGUUCACUGUUGCCAGCACGUUAUGGUGGGGACUCAGUGGAGACCGCCGGGGUCAACUCGGAGGAAGGUGGGGAUGACGUCAAGUCCUCAUGCCCCUUAUGUCCAGGGCUUCACGCAUGCUACAAUGGCUGGUACAGAGAGUGGCGAGCCUGUGAGGGUGAGCGAAUCUCGGAAAGCCGGUCUCAGUUCGGAUUGGGGUCCGCAACUCGACCUCAUGAAGUCGGAGUCGCUAGUAAUCGCAGAUCAGCAACGCUGCGGUGAAUACGUUCCCGGGGCA
rnacentral:rRNA from 1 species